ensembl:lncRNA
UCGCGGGGGAUGAGUGUGUCUAUCUAAAGGGGUCCGAGUCUGCACGGGUGCGCUGCCUUGCUCUUCUUGACCGACGGCAUCCUUGGAUUUGGAACGAAGUCUGUCUCCCCCUUUUCCUCUCAGCGCCCAUUGUGAGGCUGCAUGUAUCACCCCGCAGAGCUGUACUCUGGCCGUGACACAUGGGACUCCUAUCCAGCUGGAGGACCUAACAGAGGACAAUGGGCUCCGUGGAGCCAAACGGAAAGAUGCCGUGGAGGGCGCAAUCAAGCACACAGUCCACCGUCAAGUCGUCUCUAUAACAGGCGAGUAAACCGGGGCGAACGUCAUCGCACCGGUGACAGAAUAAGUUCUGUCAUUUCACCGAAACCAUUCGGAAAUUCAACUUUCAUUCAGCUACUCGAGUCACUUUGGAGCCGUGUCGUCACACGUGUUGCUUAGCGCAGUGGGUCUUUUGCUCAGGGGGGAGAGGACGGGGCACAGGCAGCCUCUCCGUCUCUGGGAUGGGAAAGAGCAGUCGUCUGAGGCUCAGAACUGGCAUCACAACUCCACUCGCUCAUUCCACGACAGAGGCGGCCCCCCCAGCGGCUACCCGACGGGACCAGCAGAGCGCUACGCAAACUGGGACAACAUUGCCGGCAACUCUUUGCACGGGGGGUCUCGCCUGCAUCGCAACAACAGAGAACUCCCGUCCCCACCAGAGAGAUGGGCCCCUUCGGACUGCAGAAGGAACUUUUCCGGCAGAAUUGUAAACAACAGACCAGGACCAUGGAAACGGCCGGCCCUCCACCAGCGGCGAGACCAUCUCCACCCCCACGGUUCCCCUCCACCGCACCCUCUAUCCCCGAGGGACGAAUGUUCAUCCAAGAGGAGGAGGGACCUCGGCCCCGAUCAGCCAUCUCAUCCUGGAACAAGACAUUUGUCUCCACCCGUCCACGCCUCAUCACCACCUCGCCACCACCGCUCCAACCCGAAUAACUGGAAGCCCCCCAAUGAAAGGUUGGAUCAUUGCCACCACUAUGACCACAGGACCACAACAACACAGCAACAGGAAACCUCUAAACUGCGAGCUGGAGGACACGGCUUGAGCAACAGUCACCUAGCGGCUCCGAAACAGGGCUGUGGCAGCAGACCACCACCUCACGGAAGCAGGGGGAAGGUCGACCAGAGAAUCGCAUCAUCACCAGCAGACCACACCCGUGUGCCUUACAGCCAAAACCAUCAUCGCUACUAUCCACGACACACGGCCCACCCCAGAGCCCCGUCGCACAACGUGCCGCCACACCCUUUUGGGGAAAAGGACUCACGGAGCCAUCAACACAAACAAAGCACAGAACCUCAGCGCACUCAUCAGAGGGGUGAUUCAAGGGAUCCGGCCCUCUGCAAGUCUUCUGGUGCAGGCUCUCCUUCCUAUUCAUCCCUCCUCUUUAGCCCUAAAGAUGGAGGUUCUUCUGCCAGCAGUCCACGCGCGUCUCCCAGUUCCUCAUACACAGCGGCCAGUAGCAGAAAAGACCCACCAAUCAGUCAUCAGUUCAUCUCUGGCCUCAGUGGGCAGCAGGACCUCCAGGGAAGCCCAAAUUACACCCAGAGACCUGGCCUGACGUCUGCAACGCCUCUCUCGUCUCACGCUGGUCUGAAAUCCAGGUUUUCAGACGUCAAAUAUAGGGAGACCCUGCAGCCCCCCUGCUCGCGACAGUCCCCGCACGGCAAAUCCAGAGCAACCGAGCCGGAAAGUGAGUUGAAAGAACUAACAAAAACCGAGAAGCCGAUUAAAAAGGACAGAAAGACGAACCAAAAGGGUGAAGAGAAGAAGCGGCAUAAGAAAAAAGAGGAAAGAAGGUUGGCAGAGAGAAAAAGGAAGAGGGAUAAAGCAGCAAGGAGGGAAAGGAAGCUCGGCUUGAAAUCUAAGGUCACAGAAAAUGAAUUGUUUACCUCCAGCUCUACUUCCAGAUCUUCAG